rnacentral:rRNA from 1 species
GGUUAAGCGACUAAGCGUACACGGUGGAUGCCCUGGCAGUCAGAGGCGAUGAAGGACGUGCUAAUCUGCGAUAAGCGUCGGUAAGGUGAUAUGAACCGUUAUAACCGGCGAUUUCCGAAUGGGGAAACCCAGUGUGAUUCGUCACACUAUCAUUAACUGAAUCCAUAGGUUAAUGAGGCGAACCGGGGGAACUGAAACAUCUAAGUACCCCGAGGAAAAGAAAUCAACCGAGAUUCCCCCAGUAGCGGCGAGCGAACGGGGAGCAGCCCAGAGCCUGAAUCAGUGUGUGUGUUAGUGGAAGCGUCUGGAAAGGCGUGCGAUACAGGGUGACAGCCCCGUACACAAAAAUGCACAUACUGUGAGCUCGAUGAGUAGGGCGGGACACGUGGUAUCCUGUCUGAAUAUGGGGGGACCAUCCUCCAAGGCUAAAUACUCCUGACUGACCGAUAGUGAACCAGUACCGUGAGGGAAAGGCGAAAAGAACCCCGGCGAGGGGAGUGAAAAAGAACCUGAAACCGUGUACGUACAAGCAGUGGGAGCACGCUUAGGCGUGUGACUGCGUACCUUUUGUAUAAUGGGUCAGCGACUUAUAUUCUGUAGCAAGGUUAACCGAAUAGGGGAGCCGAAGGGAAACCGAGUCUUAACUGGGCGUUAAGUUGCAGGGUAUAGACCCGAAACCCGGUGAUCUAGCCAUGGGCAGGUUGAAGGUUGGGUAACACUAACUGGAGGACCGAACCGACUAAUGUUGAAAAAUUAGCGGAUGACUUGUGGCUGGGGGUGAAAGGCCAAUCAAACCGGGAGAUAGCUGGUUCUCCCCGAAAGCUAUUUAGGUAGCGCCUCGUGAAUUCAUCUCCGGGGGUAGAGCACUGUUUCGGCAAGGGGGUCAUCCCGACUUACCAACCCGAUGCAAACUGCGAAUACCGGAGAAUGUUAUCACGGGAGACACACGGCGGGUGCUAACGUCCGUCGUGAAGAGGGAAACAACCCAGACCGCCAGCUAAGGUCCCAAAGUCAUGGUUAAGUGGGAAACGAUGUGGGAAGGCCCAGACAGCCAGGAUGUUGGCUUAGAAGCAGCCAUCAUUUAAAGAAAGCGUAAUAGCUCACUGGUCGAGUCGGCCUGCGCGGAAGAUGUAACGGGGCUAAACCAUGCACCGAAGCUGCGGCAGCGACGCUUAUGCGUUGUUGGGUAGGGGAGCGUUCUGUAAGCCUGUGAAGGUGUGCUGUGAGGUAUGCUGGAGGUAUCAGAAGUGCGAAUGCUGACAUAAGUAACGAUAAAGCGGGUGAAAAGCCCGCUCGCCGGAAGACCAAGGGUUCCUGUCCAACGUUAAUCGGGGCAGGGUGAGUCGACCCCUAAGGCGAGGCCGAAAGGCGUAGUCGAUGGGAAACAGGUUAAUAUUCCUGUACUUGGUGUUACUGCGAAGGGGGGACGGAGAAGGCUAUGUUGGCCGGGCGACGGUUGUCCCGGUUUAAGCGUGUAGGCUGGUUUUCCAGGCAAAUCCGGAAAAUCAAGGCCGAGGCGUGAUGACGAGGCACUACGGUGCUGAAGCAACAAAUGCCCUGCUUCCAGGAAAAGCCUCUAAGCAUCAGGUAACAUCAAAUCGUACCCCAAACCGACACAGGUGGUCAGGUAGAGAAUACCAAGGCGCUUGAGAGAACUCGGGUGAAGGAACUAGGCAAAAUGGUGCCGUAACUUCGGGAGAAGGCACGCUGAUACGUAGGUGAAGCGACUUGCUCGUGGAGCUGAAAUCAGUCGAAGAUACCAGCUGGCUGCAACUGUUUAUUAAAAACACAGCACUGUGCAAACACGAAAGUGGACGUAUACGGUGUGACGCCUGCCCGGUGCCGGAAGGUUAAUUGAUGGGGUUAGCGCAAGCGAAGCUCUUGAUCGAAGCCCCGGUAAACGGCGGCCGUAACUAUAACGGUCCUAAGGUAGCGAAAUUCCUUGUCGGGUAAGUUCCGACCUGCACGAAUGGCGUAAUGAUGGCCAGGCUGUCUCCACCCGAGACUCAGUGAAAUUGAACUCGCUGUGAAGAUGCAGUGUACCCGCGGCAAGACGGAAAGACCCCGUGAACCUUUACUAUAGCUUGACACUGAACAUUGAGCCUUGAUGUGUAGGAUAGGUGGGAGGCUUUGAAGUGUGGACGCCAGUCUGCAUGGAGCCGACCUUGAAAUACCACCCUUUAAUGUUUGAUGUUCUAACGUGGACCCGUGAUCCGGGUUGCGGACAGUGUCUGGUGGGUAGUUUGACUGGGGCGGUCUCCUCCUAAAGAGUAACGGAGGAGCACGAAGGUUGGCUAAUCCUGGUCGGACAUCAGGAGGUUAGUGCAAUGGCAUAAGCCAGCUUGACUGCGAGCGUGACGGCGCGAGCAGGUGCGAAAGCAGGUCAUAGUGAUCCGGUGGUUCUGAAUGGAAGGGCCAUCGCUCAACGGAUAAAAGGUACUCCGGGGAUAACAGGCUGAUACCGCCCAAGAGUUCAUAUCGACGGCGGUGUUUGGCACCUCGAUGUCGGCUCAUCACAUCCUGGGGCUGAAGUAGGUCCCAAGGGUAUGGCUGUUCGCCAUUUAAAGUGGUACGCGAGCUGGGUUUAGAACGUCGUGAGACAGUUCGGUCCCUAUCUGCCGUGGGCGCUGGAGAACUGAGGGGGGCUGCUCCUAGUACGAGAGGACCGGAGUGGACGCAUCACUGGUGUUCGGGUUGUCAUGCCAAUGGCACUGCCCGGUAGCUAAAUGCGGAAGAGAUAAGUGCUGAAAGC